rnacentral:rRNA from 1 species
UACAUAGGUCUCAAGCGUUGUUCGGAUUCAUUGGGCGUAAAGGGCGCGUAGGCUGCGGGGCAAGUCGGGUGUGAAAUCUCAGAGCUCAACUCUGAAACUGCACUCGAUACUGCUUUGCUUGAGGACUGGAGAGGAGAUUGGAAUUCACGGUGUAGCAGUGAAAUGCGUAGAUAUCGUGAGGAAGACCAGUGGCGAAGGCGGAUCUCUGGACAGUUCCUGACGCUGAGGCGCGAAGGCCAGGGGAGCAAACGGG